rnacentral:tRNA from 1 species
AUCCAUGUGGUGCAAAUAUUAACACAUUCAGCUGCUAACUGAAAGGUUGGUGGUUUAAGUCCACCCAGAGGCA